rnacentral:rRNA from 1 species
CGCGGCCUAUCAGCUUGUUGGUGAGGUAAUGGCUCACCAAGGCGUCGACGGGUAGCCGGCCUGAGAGGGCGACCGGCCACACUGGGACUGAGAUACGGCCCAGACUCCUACGGGAGGCAGCAGUGGGGAAUAUUGCGCAAUGGGCGAAAGCCUGACGCAGCAACGCCGCGUGCGGGAUGACGGCCUUCGGGUUGUAAACCGCUUUCAGCAGGGACGAAGGGUUACCUUGACGGUACCUGCAGAAGAAGCACCGGCUAACUACGUGCCAGCAGCCGCGGUGAUACGUAGGGUGCGAGCGUUGUCCGGAAUUAUUGGGCGUAAAGAGCUUGUAGGCGGUCUGUUGCGUCGGAAGUGAAAACUCAGGGCUUAACCCUGAGCCGGCUUUCGAUACGGGCAGACUUGAGGGAUGUAGGGGAGAAUGGAAUUCCUGGUGGAGCGGUGGAAUGCGCAGAUAUCAGGAGGAACACCAGUGGCGAAGGCGGUUCUCUGGACAUUUCCUGACGCUGAGAAGCGAAAGCGUGGGGAGCAAACAGGCUUAGAUACCCUGGUAGUCCACGCCGUAAACGGUGGGCACUAGGUGUGGGACCCAUUCCACGGGUUCCGUGCCGAAGCUAACGCAUUAAGUGCCCCGCCUGGGGAGUACGG